AUUUCUUAACCACCUGGGUUGUAUUUAUUUUCCAAGUAUGGUCUUCACUGAGAUAAACUCCUUUAAAUUCCUAGGAGUUUAUCUCAGUGAAGACCUUACUUGGAAAAUAAAUACAACCCAGGUGGUUAAGAAAGCC